GGGGAUAUAGCUCAGCAGCACAGCACCUGCCUGGCAAGCACAAGGUCCUGAGUUCAAUUCCCAGUACCA
rnacentral:tRNA from 1 species